rnacentral:rRNA from 1 species
UACAGAGGGGGCAAGCGUUGUUCGGAAUUACUGGGCGUAAAGGGCGCGUAGGCGGCCUUCUAAGUCGAACGUGAAAUCCCCGGGCUCAACCCGGGAACUGCGUCCGAUACUGGGAGGCUUGAAUCCGGGAGAGGGAUGUGGGAUUCCAGGUGUAGCGGUGAAAUGCGUAGAUAUCGGGAAGGAACACCAGUGGCGAAGGCGACUACCUGGCCUGUUCUUGACGCUGAGGCGCGAAAGCUAGGGGAGCAAACGGG